UGGGGAAUUUUGGACAAUGGGGGCAACCCUGAUCCAGCAAUGCCGCGUGUGUGAAGAAGGCCUUCGGGUUGUAAAGCACUUUUGUCCGGAAAGAAAACGCCGUGGUUAAUACCCGUGGCGGAUGACGGUACCGGAAGAAUAAGCACCGGCUAACUACGUGCCAGCAGCCGCGGUAAUACGUAGGGUGCAAGCGUUAAUCGGAAUUACUGGGCGUAAAGCGUGCGCAGGCGGUCCGCUAAGACAGAUGUGAAAUCCCCGGGCUUAACCUGGGAACUGCAUUUGUGACUGGCGGGCUAGAGUAUGGCAGAGGGGGGUAGAAUUCCACGUGUAGCAGUGAAAUGCGUAGAGAUGUGGAGGAAUACCGAUGGCGAAGGCAGCCCCCUGGGCCAAUACUGACGCUCAUGCACGAAAGCGUGGGGAGCAAACAGGAUUAGAUACCCUGGUAGUCCACGCCCUAAACGAUGUCAACUAGUUGUCGGGUCUUCAUUGACUU
rnacentral:rRNA from 1 species